UACGGAGGGUGCAAGCGUUAUCCGGAAUUACUGGGCGUAAAGCGUGUGUAGGUGGUUUGUUAAGUCCGUUGUGAAAGCCCCGAGCUCAACUUGGGAAUUGCAGUGGAUACUGGCAAGCUGGAGUGCGGUAGAGGAAGGUGGAAUUCCCGGUGUAGCGGUGAAAUGCGUAGAGAUCGGGAGGAACACCAGUGGCGAAGGCGGCCUUCUGGACCAGCACUGACACUCAAGCACGAAAGCGUGGGGAGCAAACAGG
rnacentral:rRNA from 1 species